rnacentral:rRNA from 1 species
GACGAACGCUGGCGGCGUGCUUAACACAUGCAAGUCGAACGGUAAGGCGCUUUCGGGCGUACACGAGUGGCGAACGGGUGAGUAACACGUGAGGAACGUGCCCUUGACUUUGGUAUAGCACUUGGAAACAGGUGGUAAUCCCGAAUAUUCAGUUUCCCGGGCAUCCGGGUUGUUGGAAAGCUUUUUGCGGUCAGGGAUCGUCUCGCGGCCUAUCAGCUUGUUGGUGGGGUAGUGGCCCACCAAGGCCUUGACGGGUAGCCGCCCUGAGAGGGCGACCGGCCACAUUGGGACUGAGAUACGGCCCAGACUCCUACGGGAGGCAGCAGUGGGGAAUAUUGCACAAUGGGCGGAAGCUGAUGCAGCAACGCCGCGUGCGGGAUGACGGCCUUCGG